rnacentral:rRNA from 1 species
GACGAACGCUGGCGGCGUGCUUAACACAUGCAAGUCGAACGGAAAGGCCCUGCUUUUGUGGGGUGCUCGAGUGGCGAACGGGUGAGUAACACGUGAGUAACCUGCCCUUGACUUUGGGAUAACUUCAGGAAACUGGGGCUAAUACCGGAUAGGAGCUCCUGCUGCAUGGUGGGGGUUGGAAAGUUUCGGCGGUUGGGGAUGGACGCGCGGCUUAUCAGCUUGUUGGUGGGGUAGUGGCUUACCAAGGCUUUGACGGGUAGCCGGCCUGAGAGGGUGACCGGCCACAUUGGGACUGAGAUACGGCCCAGACUCCUACGGGAGGCAGCAGUGGGGAAUAUUGCACAAUGGGCGGACGCCUGAUGCAGCAACGCCGCGUGCGGGAUGACGGCCUUCGGGUUGUAAACCGCUUUCGCCUGUGACGAAGCGUGAGUGACGGUAAUGGGUAAAGAAGCACCGGCUAACUACGUG